AUCAACGCCACACACGUACCGGCACAUUGUCCCGGGUGCCCUCCGGGGUUGGGCAAUGGGGUGCGUGGAGGCUCAAC
rnacentral:sRNA from 1 species